ACUCUAAAACGUAGCUCAGAUAGGCCAAUGCAGCAUUCUGUGAUAUGGCAUUCGUAGUUAAAUCUUCUAGUAUUGUAACAAAACUCAAUAAAAAAUCUAGUUACUAUUGCUGUGUUCCGCACUGCAAAUCAAACGGAAGAUUGGAUCUGAGUCUAAGCUUUCAUCAUAUUCCAAAAGAUGAGUUUCUGAAAGAAAAAUGGAUUUUAAUGACUGGACGGGAUGCCGAUCCUCUUUUUCAUAAAUCUUCCGUUGUUUGUUCUAAACAUUUCAUGAAAGAAAACUACACGGGUUGGGGACCAGUAAGGAGACGAUGAAAAAAUUAAUGCAGUCCCCAGUAUUUUCGAAGUGACAGAAAACAAGAUCAUAAAACCGACAAUAAAACGGAAGGUCAUUAUAUCAGAUAUGGAAGAGAGCACCAAAAGACAUAAACAUUCAGGAGAUAAGCAUCUAGUAGCUAGAGUCAGAACAGGAGAGAUAUCGUCAAAUGCGCCUCUAAACACAGCUUAUGAACAAGAAAUCCUUGAACUGAGGGAAGAAUUACAACACAAAAACGAAGAAAUUCACAGGCUAAACAAACAGCAAUGGAAAAGUUUUUCGUGAACAGAUUUUGCACUGACGACAAGAUGAUUCAGUUUUAUACUGGAUUUAAUUCAUAUACAUUGUUACUGUCUUUCUUUGAGUUUAUAGAGCCAACAGCAAACAACAGAGCAAGUACUAUGAAAGUGUAGAAACAAUAAGUCUUGCCGGCAGACGGAGAAACAUGUUGCUGAUAGACGAGUUUUUCAUGUUUCUCUGUCGGCUUAAAGUUGGAUUUUUAGAACAAGAUCUAGCAGUGCGAUUCAAUUGUUCAUUAGCCAC